GGCUUCCUGGCGCCCCGAGUCCGAGGCGCUCACCCUCGCACUGUCCUAGGGCCACGGCUGGAUCUUCGUGGGGCUGCAGUAAGGCGCCGGGCGACUCUGAGCCUCCGCUUACAUCUGUAGAAUGGGAUGCACCUUCAAUGGCCUUGCUCCGGCCAAGAGAGCCAUUAGGUGGUGUUCACACUACUCCGGGAAACGUGGCGAGGAAACCUCACCGUGGAGCCUUUGCCCCAAGACAUCCAGAAAUGCAGAUGAGGCAAUAGACUCUCCCACCCCAUCCCAGCAGAAAGCAAUGACCUCAGUUUAUCCUUUAAUGCGGGGAAGAUUGGCCCUGCCUGGUAGAGCUGCCUAAAGAAUUAUAUGCGGUCCUUGUGCUCUUAAAAAUGAUUUGGGGCUGGACAUGGUGAUGCUCUCAGCAUUCUGGAUGUGGAAGCAAGAGAUUUCUAGGAGUUCGAGACCGGCCAGGGUUACUUAGUGAGAUCCUGUCUCAAACAUAAUUUUCAUAUUUGUGUUAAAUUGUUUGGCCACAGCACUGAAUAUUGCUGUAACUGGUGUAUGUGAAGAAAAUCCAGCUUAAUGCAGGCAGAUAGUAUGGGUUUUUUUGUGUUAAUUUUUCCAAGGAAGACUGGGAAAAAAACAAAAAAACCUGUUCAUUCUAAAUAGGACACCAACAACAGACUGAAAGAUCCUAAUAGAAUGUAAAAGGUCACAGAAGCCCUCAAAUUGGCAAAAUAGAUUUCAUUGUUAGUAAAAGUAGCUUCACUGAUUUAGAAAAAUAGAGGUGCACAAUGCUCUGGCCGCGCCUUGAACCCGUGUGUCUGCCAAUGUUCUGACCGUUCCUUAAACCCAGGUGUGUGCCCACUGCUGCACCUCACUGCGAGGUGUUUGUGAUAUUGGUUGCUGGGAUAGAAUCGAAAAAUCUCCCCAGUAACCACAGCCGGGCCAAUCCAGAGUUGCUCCACCUGCACCAGACUCUUUCCUUGUACCCCUCCCAUACCCAUUUCUUAAGAAUAGACAUUGUUUAGAUCUGGAAAUCCCCUACUCCCCCCUUCUCCUCCCCCCCCCCCCCCGUGAGGGCCUAUAAAAACUGGGACCCCUUUCCCCUCGGGGUCAACUCCUCUACCCCUGCGUGGGAUACAAGUCGUCCCCAGAGCUCUGGCUUUCCCCCCAAUAAAGCCUCAGGUGGUUUGCAUCAAGUUUGGUCUUUUGUGAGUUCUUGGGGGUCCGCUAUUAUCCCGAGACUUGAGCGAGGGGCUCCUCUCGGGGUCUUUCAAGACCACAGAAAUGAAUGUACCCAAGUAUAGCUUGGUGAACCAAAUGAAUUUACAGGUCAUGCUUAGAGGAGCAUGGGUGAAGGGUUAUUUAUAUUAGUGUGGAAGACCUCAAACCAGCUGCACUGAAAAAAACAAAACAACAACAAAAAACCCCUCCCAUCCUAGCACAGAUCCAUUCCUCUUCAAAAGCUGAGUGGGUUUCUCCUUCAGCUAGUCUACCUUCGAUAACCCCUGGAAACCCAUGCAGCUGAGGCGGCUGUUUUGAUUAAGAUGGCAAAGUCUGUGUUUUGCUCCGAAGAUGGGUACACAGCACUUCAUUCUUUCUCAGGCUUUCCUCCCACCCCCUCUUCUACUGUAUUCUCUGAGCAUUGAAGGAAGCAAUAGAGAUGUUUGGUGAUUGCUUUUCAUUUUGGCUGAGCAAUGAACCACUAUGCCAUAGCAACAGCCACUUGAUUCUUGGCAACUUGACGGGCUGUCUUCCUAGUAACUUCUACUGGCUGUGUGGGGGAGUGGGGGGGGGAAUUCUCUGUACAAUUGACACUAACAGCACAGUCAUCUAUAGGUACUCACAUAAAUGUUCAACAGAAAAUCUGACAGGCACAUACCCAUUUAACUAUAGAAGUAGUUCCAUACAAGGGCCCUAUGACCUCCCCGGGUACAAUACCAACAUGAGUUCCUUCCUGUAGAGGAAUACUUAAAGACAAUCAGAAGAUGAGUUGUACCCAUUAGAACAGUACCAGGUAGCAUUAACACUGGUGUCCAUAGACUAGCAGGACCAUUUGUGACUAUUCUCCCUAGCAGCCUACAUAGCACUUAUGGAACUUCCAAACACCACUCUGCAAGAAGGAAACUUUCAGCUCAGCCCAUUUGAAUUCUGCAUGUCCUGCAAUCAGCAUGUGAAGUCUUCAGCAAUAGCAUUUUACCAUCUAUUUCCCAUGUGCCAGCAACAGCACUGGCAAUGGCCUGGAUUGUUUUAGGAUGUUAGGAACUUCCCUGGCUAAC
rnacentral:lncRNA from 1 species